UACGUAGGGUGCAAGCGUUAAUCGGAAUUACUGGGCGUAAAGCGUGCGCAGGCGGUUAUGUAAGACAGAUGUGAAAUGCCCGGGCUUAACCUGGGAACUGCAUUUGUGACUGCAUGGCUAGAGUUUGGCAGAGGGGGGUAGAAUUCCACGUGUAGCAGUGAAAUGCGUAGAUAUGUGGAGGAACACCGAUGGCGAAGGCAGCCCCCUGGGUCAAGACUGACGCUCAUGCACGAAAGGCGUGGG
rnacentral:rRNA from 1 species